GAUGAACGCUGGCGGCGUGCCUAAUACAUGCAAGUCGAACGCAUAGCGAAAGGUGCUUGCACCUUUCAAGUGAGUGGCGAACGGGUGAGUAACACGUGGACAACCUGCCUCAAGGCUGGGGAUAACAUUUGGAAACAGAUGCUAAUACCGAAUAAAACUUAGUGUCGCAUGACACAAAGUUAAAAGGCGCUUCGGCGUCACCUAGAGAUGGAUCCGCGGUGCAUUAGUUAGUUGGUGGGGUAAAGGCCUACCAAGACAAUGAUGCAUAGCCGAGUUGAGAGACUGAUCGGCCACAUUGGGACUGAGACACGGCCCAAACUCCUACGGGAGGCUGCAGUAGGGAAUCUUCCGCAAUGGGCGAAAGCCUGAUGGAGCAACGCCGCGUGUGUGAUGAAGGCUUUCGGGUCGUAAAGCACUGUUGUAUGGGAAGAACAGCUAGAAUAGGAAAUGAUUUUAGUUUGACGGUACCAUACCAGAAAGGGACGGCUAAAUACGUG
rnacentral:rRNA from 1 species